UGACAUGGGCAGAGUUUCUCUUGCCCUUAAAGUCUUACUUUCCACUUCUAAAUACCUUCCAAGAUGUUUUCCUCCACAAACACAAUAUCUUCCUUAAAAGAUAGACCCUGCAUCAGUUGUUAAGCUAACACAUCUUUCUCCUCACUACAAAUGUAUCACUAUUGAAUUUCUCUCCACAAGUGUGAAGAUGGCUGGAGUAGAAAUUCUGGCAUUGCUUCUCAUCACCAGAAGGAAAAAUUCAGAGAAACAGCCCGACCACCCACCCUGACAAAUGCCUGAGGCCCACAUGCAGCCUGCAAAACUGCAAACAUCACUGCCCACCACAGACCACGGAAGCAAGAAGCCUGUUUCCUGUUACUUGCCACCACUCAGCAAUGCCCACCCCAUGUGUAUAGAGGUCCAGAAUGCUCAAAAUUGUUCUUCUGCUGCUGCAACAUUGGAGCCUUCCAUCAUCUCAGACACAUGCUUUUAUAAACCAAUAACAAAGGAUCAACUUUCUUCUAGGUCUGAAUUGAAUACUGUGAGGCUAAAGUGUCUUAACUCAUUGAGGGGGUGGAAAAUAUUAAACCAACUAAGCCUUACCUAAUUACAAUGCCCUGCUGCUGCUCAUCUCCCUUUAUUCGUUUGUACUCAUACUCAAAAGAGGUUGUGUUUUUUUCCCUUCAUUCAAUAACGAUUUUCCUUGAUUCUUAGAUAAGUCCAUUCCAUAAUGUACUCCUUAACUGUUCUGAAUUUCUUUCAGAGAAAAACUGGAAAAGACAUUAAAUCAUGUUGAAAUAUUUGACUGACUUUCAUCUAGGAAAAAAUAUAAAGUUAAAUCUCUACACUAAAAUAUAAACAAAAUAAAAAGAAAUUUCAGUAAGACCAAAACAUUUACUUUUAAAAACCUAUAUCAUGUUAUAUGUAUAACUGAGGAAUGUAAUCAUAAUUUUGAUUUGUAGAACUGAAGACAAUAUCAAGUAACCCUCAAAAUGUAAAUUCAAGAAACAAGGUAGUUACGUUAGCCUGCAUUAAAAUAAAAAUAUCUGUGUGACAAU
rnacentral:lncRNA from 1 species